rnacentral:rRNA from 1 species
AAAGCGAGCGGCGGAUGGGUGAGUAACACGUGGGGAACCUGCCCCUAAGUCUGGGAUACCAUUUGGAAACAGGUGCUAAUACCGGAUAAUAAAGCAGAUCGCAUGAUCAGCUUUUGAAAGGCGGCGUAAGCUGUCGCUAAGGGAUGGCCCCGCGGUGCAUUAGCUAGUUGGUAAGGUAACGGCUUACCAAGGCGACGAUGCAUAGCCGAGUUGAGAGACUGAUCGGCCACAUUGGGACUGAGACACGGCCCAAACUCCUACGGGAGGCAGCAGUAGGGAAUCUUCCACAAUGGACGCAAGUCUGAUGGAGCAACGCCGCGUGAGUGAAGAAGGUUUUCGGAUCGUAAAGCUCUGUUGUUGGUGAAGAAGGAUAGAGGUAGUAACUGGCCUUUAUUUGACGGUAAUCAACCAGAAAGUCACGGCUAACUACGUGCCAGCAGCCGCGGUAAUACGUAGGUGGCAAGCGUUGUCCGGAUUUAUUGGGCGUAAAGCGAGCGCAGGCGGAAAAAUAAGUCUAAUGUGAAAGCCCUCGGCUUAACCGAGGAACUGCAUCGGAAACUGUUUUUCUUGAGUGCAGAAGAGGAGAGUGGAACUCCAUGUGUAGCGGUGGAAUGCGUAGAUAUAUGGAAGAACACCAGUGGCGAAGGCGGCUCUCUGGUCUGCAACUGACGCUGAGGCUC